rnacentral:rRNA from 1 species
AGAGUUUGAUCCUGGCUCAGAACGAACGCUGGCGGCGUGCUUAACACAUGCAAGUCGAGUGCGCGCCUGUAGCAAUACAGGUGGCGCACGGCGCACGGGUGCGUAACACGUGGGUAAUCUGCCCUCUGAUGGGGAAUAACUCGCCGAAAGGCGAGCUAAUUCCGCAUAAUAUUCCGAAAAGUUCGCUUUUUGGACUGAAAGGCGUAAGUCGUCGGAGGAGGAGCCCGCGCACGAUUAGCUAGUUGGUAGGGUAAUGGCCUACCAAGGCUUUGAUCGUUAGCUGGUCUGAGAGGAUGGCCAGCCACACUGGAACUGAGACACGGUCCAGACUCCUACGGGAGGCAGCAGUGGGGAAUCUUGCACAAUGGGCGAAAGCCUGAUGCAGCGACGCCGCGUGGGGGAUGAAGCUUCUCGGAGUGUAAACCCCUUUCGAUCCGGACGAAUGCCUCGCAAGAGGAGUGACGGUACGGAUAUAAGAAGCCCCGGCUAACUACGUGCCAGCAGCCGCGGUAAUACGUAGGGGGCCAGCGUUGUUCGGAAUUACUGGGUGUAAAGGGUUCGUAGGCGGUGUGGCAAGUCGGGAGUGAAAUCUCUGGGCUCAACCCAGAGACUGCUUCCGAAACUGCUGUGCUUGAGUGUGAGAGAGGCUCGUGGAAUUGCAGGUGUAGCGGUGAAAUGCGUAGAUAUCUGCAGGAACACCCGUGGCGAAAGCGGCGAGCUGGAUCACUACUGACGCUGAGGAACGAAAGCUAGGGGAGCAAACAGGAUUAGAUACCCUAGUAGUCC